rnacentral:rRNA from 1 species
GUGUCAGCAGCCGCGGUAAUACGAAGGGGGCGAGCGUUGUUCGGAGUUACUGGGCGUAAAGGGCGCGUAGGCGGCGAUCCAAGUUAGGCGUGAAAGCCCCGGGCUUAACCUGGGAAUUGCGCUUAAGACUGGACUGCUUGAGUGCGGGAGAGGUGAGUGGAAUUCCCAGUGUAGAGGUGAAAUUCGUAGAUAUUGGGAAGAACACCAGUGGCGAAGGCGGCUCACUGGCCCGCAACUGACGCUGAGGCGCGAAAGCGUGGGGAGCAAACAGGAUUAGAAACCCCCGUAGUCC